rnacentral:misc_RNA from 1 species
AAAACUAUUUUUUUUUAUCACUUAUAAUUUAAUAAAUUUUACACUUGAUAUUCAAAUAUCCAUUCUUGGGUAGGAGGAGAGUGUCUUAAAGUUUCACAUCAGCUUGAUAUUGAACAAAUAUGCAUCUUCUAUAUCCUCUCUUCAUAUGGUUCCUUAUGAAAUGAAAGGUGGAGAAAGUCUUUAGCCAAAAAGGUGUUCCUGAAUUGGAGUUUGGAGAUGUAGAAGAACAAGAUAAAAGAGCUCCAAGCUCCACAGGUACACAUUUUGUAUUCCAUAAACAUUCAAUUUACAUGUUGUCUCCAACAGAAACUGACUCUACAAUGUCUAUAUUUUGUAUAAGUGAAGAACAAGUACGUAUCAUCCAGCACAUGAAAAUUUGUCUACCUUUACUUAAUGGUUACAGGAGGUCAAGAGCUAGGGCUCUUUGAUGGUGGAUGUUGCCGAGCAAGAAAAGGAGCAUCCGCCACUGUUCCAACAAUGCUCUCUCCAACGAUUACAGUGCUACCUUCCAAAACAGUUUGCCUCUUAAUGUAGCCCAAGCCAUAAUGUUCUGAUCCCUUUCUCCCAGAUGUAUAGCUCGUCAGUCUUCCCACCUUCACAAGUUUGUUAAAUUUAACUGAAAUUCCCAGAUCAACCAGAAUGACAUACAAAAUAUAUUUGAUUGUAAUGUAAUUUUAUUUUCCAAUUUUAAAUGCAAGGAAAUGACUCAUACUUUUCUACCAUCAACUGUAAUCACACUGCCAGGUUCUGCUGGUGCUGAUAGAAGAAUUGCCCAUAAUUUCUGCUUCACUCCGUCAUAUGUUAUGAGUCUAGAAAUGGUCUCUUGUCCCUUGUAACAUCCUGAGAAGGUAUAAUUGAUUCAGAAAAAAAGUCUAUUUUUAAGAUAGAUCACACAUGAGCUUCAUUGAAGAAUCGAGGCACCCUUGUUUAGAGAAAUGGAGUUCCAAAGUCCAGCCUCCAGAACAUUGAAUUCAUUAGUGAGCUCUUUCCCAGGAGCAGGUAUUCCUUGAAUAAUCCUUAGUUUUUCCCAAGCAUUAGAACCCAUUGGAAUAGCACCCUGUGAUAGAAGAGUUUUCCAAACAGAUCCUGCAGCUGCUGGUGACAUCAACAGGGAAUAACCUUCUUCAGAGAUGGCAUUGCCCACUCCCACAGUUAUGGGCAUUCCAUUUACACUAUAAUGACGAUGAGUACCAUAUGGUUGUCCAACAAGAUCGCCAAGAUUCAACUCGACCAUCAACUGUUUGCAUUCCACAAGAAGCAAAGGCUCAAUUUCUAUAUAGGAAGAAAAGUCUCACAUUUACAAGAAACUUCCUUACUUGUUUGCUUUUUGGUCCAGCUACAAUAAAGAAGGAAGUUUUCUUGGUGAUAUCUUGAAUUUCUACUUUGUCAGCAAAGAAUAUAUACCUACAAAUUAAUAAUCAUAUGCAAGACAAAAGAAUAUAUCAUCUUCUCUCAAAAACAUUAACAAGAUAAUGAAUCUCUUCUGCCCUCUCGUUACUGUUAUUCAUUUUUUAAGGUGAUUUAGAAUCACUCAAAUCAAGUUUGACAGCUCUUUUUGAGCAACUCAAUUUAACUAAAACAGGAAACCUUUUGGAAGGGCCAACUAACUCUCAACCACCCUACUACAUCUUGGGUAUUAAUUUGCCCACAACCUUGACCUGUAUUCUCUUUAGAUCUCCUAUUGUGAUGUUAGCAAAUUCAACAUGACCAAACCAAACUCGUCCUUUAUGAUGUAAUGAUUAAUAAUUGUUACAUUUAAAAAAGUCAACUUAUCCAACUUUCUCAUUUACUACUUGCAACUGGUUGGUUAUUGCCAAUUAUCACAACUCGUUCUCUAAUUAUUCUUUGCCCUAUCAAUGCUAUUUCUUUACUGUUUCUCAUUUCCUUUCUUAUCCAGCCACCUGUACCCAUCUACCUCUGCAUUAUAUUCUCAGCUAUACGUAAUUUUUUAGUACCCAAUGGGGUUGCCAACUUGUAACAGAUUCCAAGGUGCAUUCAGUAAGUUAUCUAAAAUUCCAAAACAGUCAAACAACUUUUAUGUAUACAUUUGAUGUUGUUUUCUGGCCUUGAAUGAAGUUCAACUCAAAUGUGAACGAACAUAAGAACAAACAUAACUAGAACAAAGUUUUUUUGUUUUUUUAUUUUUUAU